UACGGGGGGGGGCAAGCGUUGUUCGGAAUUACUGGGCGUAAAGGGGUGCGUAGGGCGGCUUUCUAAGUCAGACGUGGAAAUCCCUCGGCUUAACCGGGGAACUGCGUCUGAUACUGGAUGGCUUGAGUUCGGGGAGAGGGAUGCGGAAUUCCAGGUGUAGCGGUGAAAUGCGUAGAUAUCUGGAGGAACACCGGUGGCGAAGGCGGCAUCCUGGACCGACACUGACACUGAGGAGCGAAAGCCAGGGAGCAA
rnacentral:rRNA from 1 species